ensembl:lncRNA
CUCUCAGACCCACCUCUGCUAGCUGUACACAUAAACCAAGUAGACCUUAGUGGUUCAGAUCAAACAGAUGAUGUGAGUUAAUCUUUAUUUUUUCAAAUCUGGAUUUUGUCCCAGGUGAAUGUCUUCAGAAGAAAGAGCCAAUUUGGUCAGAAUAUCAUUAAGUGUCACACUUUGACAAGUUCAUCAGCUGGUAACAAACCUGUUCACAGCUCAGAUCCAGACUCAGAUUUGGUGCCUUUCAGCGUCUCAACAUGUGUUCGAGUCUCUCCAAUAGCCGCCUGAUUCUUCUGCUCUCCCUGAGUGUGAUGAUGCUCAUCUCUGUAUCAGGAGCAAAGCAUUUGGGGAUAUCCUGUUAUAAAAGACAUUCUAACAGUGGUGCAAGAAAAGACGUUAAACCUAACUGGGAAAAAAACAUCAUCAGCUGCUUUGAAGAAAACAGAGAACGCUGCUUAUAUGGAUUUGAGGUGCAAACAAGCAGCGGAAGAGCAUUUUUCCUCAGACCAGACACCGAGUGGCUUAAAAGGAAAAUAAAUGAGGGAACUCUGCUGUGUCCUCCAGUGUUUUCUAAAUGAUGAUGAUGGAAACGAUGAAACAAAGUAAAGCAGCAACUGGAACCAUUACCCCAUUACAGCUGAUUUACUAGUUGAAACUUUUACAGAAAUAUUUGUUAAGAAAUUAUGAUUAUUUUUCGUUAAUUAUGACACUUUCAAAAACAGUCUUAUGUAUAUAUAUAUAUAUUACAAAUUUAAAUAUGAAUGUUUGAUGUUUUCUUAUUCUGUCUUCGAUCUGAGAACAAAGAUAAAUCAAUAAAAGCUUUUCAAAUCAG